UACGUAGGGUGCGAGCGUUAAUCGGAAUUACUGGGCGUAAAGCGUGCGCAGGCGGUUUUGUAAGCCAGAUGUGAAAGCCCCGGGCUUAACCUGGGAAUGGCAUUUGGGACUGCAAGGCUGGAGUGUGGCAGAGGAGACUGGAAUUCCUGGUGUAGCAGUGAAAUGCGUGGAUAUCAGGAGGAAUACCGAUGGCGAAGGCAGGUCUCUGGGCUGACACUGACGCUCAUGCACGAAAGCGUGGGGAGCAAACAGG
rnacentral:rRNA from 1 species